AUGUAGAGGAUGAGGGCACUUAAUGAGCGUGCGGAAACUGUAGUUAUGAUGUCAAAUUUGAUAUUUAAAUCAAAAUUAAACUAAAUACCCCAAAUAUUGGAAUGAAAUAUACAAUAUAAUACCUCCAGCUAUUGACUAGUGAAAUGUGACAAUUAUACUUGCACCAUUGGCUGAAUAAGUAGUUGGCAAAACAUUAUUAUCAUUUGAAAUGAUGGAUCUUUAAAGGAAUAUAUUAAUGGAGAGAGGAGAGAACAUAUCUCUAGAGACAGACAGACAGACAGACAGACAGACAGACAGACAGACAGACAGACAGACAGACAGACAGACAGACAGACAGACCGGGGGUCCCUUUGUGCAGGCUACCAUUGCCUUAUCAAACAGCCAGGAGCACCCAGGUCAAAAAUGACACUUGUUGCCUUCAAUAAGUGUGUGCUUGGAGAGAGAUAGAGAGAACAUAUCUCUAGAGAAUAACAUUCACGUGAAUAACCCGUCUGAUGCCCUCACAAGGUCUUUUCUGUCCAUUACAGAUACGCUUGGCUUCAAACAGCUCGUCCAGCACCCAACCCACAUCGGUGGAAACACGCUGGAUCUCGUUCUGACCCGCGGUAUAGACAUUUCACAGCUAGUGGUCUCUUCCUACACCUCAGCUUUAUCAGACCACUUUUUGCUCACUUUCCAGGUGGUGGUAUCCUGCCCCUGCGACGAUCAGCAAGCUACUUUCAGCGGUCGCCGCAUCACACCUGCAACCAUUACAGCUAUGGCAGAAUAAGUUAUCUGGUUCACUUGCACCUCUCUGUAACUAUAGUGGUUCUGUGGAGUGCCUUACUGAUGACCUCAACAUUGCCUUGUCUGUUGCCAUUGAUUCAGUUGCUCCGAACGUAACUAAAAAACGAACAUUGAAAAAACCAGCCCCUUGGUUAAAUACAGAAACGCGCAUUUUGAAGCGAAAUUGCAGGAUCCUUGAACGCAAAUGGCGCUCGACUAAACUUGAGGUCUUUCAUCUUGCAUGGCAUAACAGUCUGCUCACCUAUAAGGGUGCGCUGACUAUUGCCAGGAAUGCCUACUUUUCCAGUAUCAUCAAUUUGAAUAGAAACAAUCCUAAGUUUCUUUUUGACACGGUGAGGAGUCUCACUCAGAAACAAACUCAGACCGUAGGCUCAUCGAUCGUGGCAGGUGAAUUCAUGGAUUUCUUUGAGAAUAAGAUUCAAUCAAUUAGAGAGGAAAUUGAUGCUUGCCAUGCGGCUAAUCCUACACAUCCUGUGGGGCAGGAUGGGGUCCUGCCAAGUAGGAUGGUGAACUCUGACUCAACUCUCUUGGAGUUCAAGGCAAUUCCUUUGGUGGAACUUGAAAGGGUGAUAAAAGCAUCAAAGCCAACAACUUGUAUGUUGGAUCCUCUCCCUUCCAGGGUUCUUAAGGAACUUCUUCCAACGGUGGGGCCU
rnacentral:lncRNA from 1 species